UUUAGUGUCGUUAGCCCAUGAGAAUGACAUCGGAAUUUUGGUUUUCACAAGACGACGGGAAAAUUGCUUGCGGGAGGUUUUUGGCCCAAGUUGAAGGCCGAAGUCAAGAAAUUCGUGAACAGUUACGUCGUCUGCCAACGGGUUGGCAAGCCCAAUCAACUCGUUCCAAAAGCACAGUUGUUUCCCAUCCCAGCUGUCGGCACGGUCUAGCGGAACCAUUCAAAAGGCUCGUGGGUUGCCAGCCACCAUCAACCACAUUGUCCAUGUAGGUAGAAUACGCCAAACUGGUGAUCUUAUCGACGGUAACAGAAUUAUAUCCGAGGGAGUGAUCGAUAACAACGGUAAUAGGCACGAGAUAAAGAUUGACAAUGGUAAAAGGCACAAGAUAAUGGGACAUACUGCUAAAAGGCACAAGCUAAAUAGAAGAAUAUUCUUUAUCUUGAGCAUUUUAUUAUUUACAAAGGUGGAGAAGUAGUAUAAUGUCAGCAGCUCCACAGACGGAGAAGAGACCUAUGGAGAUAGUGUUUAAAGAUAUUCACCACUGGUUGAGAUGUCAAGAGACUCACAGGUGGAGAAAUUAUGUCAAGAGAUCAAC